rnacentral:rRNA from 1 species
UCUAGCGAGACUGCCAGUGAUAAACUGGAGGAAAGGUGGGGGAUGACGUCAAAUCAUCAUGCCCCUUAUGACCUGGGCUACAAACGUGAUACAAUGGCUGAAACAAAGGGCAGCGAAGGAGCGAUCUGGAGCGAAACCCAAAAAAGCAGUCUCAGUUCGGAUUGAAGUCUGCAACUCGACUUCAUGAAGUCGGAAUCGCUAGUAAUCGCGGAUCAGAACGCCGCGGUGAAUACGUUCUCGGGUUU